rnacentral:rRNA from 1 species
AAGAGGUAUCGACCCCUCUUGUGUCGCAGCUAACGCAUUAAGCAUUCCGCCUGGGGAGUACGGCCGCAAGGUUGAAACUCAAAUGAAUUGACGGGGACCCGCACAAGCGGUGGAGCAUGUGGAUUAAUUCGAUACUAACCGAAGAACCUUACCCAGGUUUGACAUCGAUCGAAAGCCUAAGAGAUUAGGNCCCUGAACCACAAGUUCACGUGAAGACAGAUGUUGCAUGGCUGUCGUCAGCUCGUGCCGUGAGGUGUACGGUUAAGUCCGCCAACGAGCGCAACCCUCGUCUUGUGUUACCAGCGAGUAAUGUNCGGGGACUCACAAGAGACCGCCGGUGUAAGCCGGAGGAAGGUGAGGAUGACGUCAAGUCAGCAUGGCUCUUACGCCUGGGGCUUCACACAUGCUACAAUGGGCGCAACAAACGGCAGCAAUACCGCGAGGUGGAGCAAAUCCGAAAAAUACGCCCCCAGUUCAGAUUGUAGUCUGCAACUCGACUACAUGAGGGCGGAAUCGCUAGUAAACGCAGGUCAGCUAUACUGCGUUGAAUACGUUCCCGGGUCUUGUACACACCGCCCGUCAAGUCACCUGAAUUGUCUUCACCCGAAGUCCGUGGCCUAACUCGCAAGAGAGGGAGCGGCCGAAGGUGAUGGGAGUAAGGGGGACUAAGUCGUAANCAAGGUACC